ACAACCCUUGAAAGUUGAAUUCAGAUGCUGG
rnacentral:piRNA from 1 species